rnacentral:rRNA from 1 species
UACGGGGGGGGCAAGCGUUGUUCGGAAUUACUGGGCGUAAAGGGCUCGUAGGCGGCCAACUAAGUCAGACGUGAAAUCCCUCGGCUUAACCGGGGAACUGCACUCGAAACUACUUGUCUUGAGUACCGGAGAGGCAGGUGGAAUUCCCGGUGUAGCGGUAGAAUGCGUAGAGAUCGGGAAGAACAUCGGUGGCGAAGGCGGCCUGCUGGGCUCUUGCUGACACUGAUGCGCGACAGCGUGGGGAGCAAACAGG